rnacentral:rRNA from 1 species
UACGAGGGGGCGAGCGUUGUUCGGAAUUAUUGGGCGUAAAGGGUGCGUAGGCGGUCUGGUAAGUCUUGUGUGAAAUCUUCGGGCUUAACUCGAAGUCUGCACGAGAAACUGCCGGGCUUGAGUAUGGGAGAGGUGAGUGGAAUUCCCGGUGUAGCGGUGAAAUGCGUAGAUAUUCGGAAGAACACCAGUGGCGAAGGCGGCUCACUGGCCCGUUACCGACGCUCAGGCGCGACAGCGUGGGGAGCAAACAGG